UACGUGAUUGUCUUCUGUUUAAAGGAUUUU
rnacentral:piRNA from 1 species